rnacentral:rRNA from 1 species
GAGAUUCCCCCAGUAACGGCGAGCGAACUGGGAAGAGCUCAUGGCGAAAUCCGCCGUCGCAGCGACGGUCCGGAUAUUUCGCGUAUAGGAGAGACGCUUCCGAACGCCGACUCCGGUGUAAGUCCCCCUGACUGGGGCUCCUACCCCGAGAGGGUGCAAGGCCCGUAGCGGCCGGCGUCGGCUUCGGAUGUCCUCUCCGGGGAGUCGGGUUGCUUGAGAGUGCAGCCCCAAUCGGGUGGUAAACUCCAUCUAAGGCUAAAUACGACCCGGAGACCGAUAGCGAACAAGUACCGUGAGGGAAAGUUGAAAAGGACUUUGAAGAGAGAGUUCAAGAGUACGUGAAACCGUUCGAAGGUAAACGAGUGGGCCCUCGAAGCCGUCAGGCGGGGGGACUCAGCCGGGAGCCUCGGGCCCGCCGCCGCGCUCGCGCUUCCCCACCGGGACGCGGAGCGGUGGUCUCCGGCCCGGGUUUCCGGCGCAUUUCCUCCCGCCCUCGGACGCUGCGACCGGUCGCGCGUGCCACGAGCGGUCGGCCUUACUCGCGGGGAACGGCAGGUAGCCGGGUCGGCGCUUCGGCGCCUUCCCGGUGUUUAGCCACCCCGCGGUCGAGAGCCGUUCGCGCGACCGAAGGACGCGACCCCCAGGGGUCUCUCCGCGCCUUCCCCCUUCCGGGGAUCGGUCGCCCCCGUGCAGGGCCGCCGUCGACGUCGCCGUCUCACCCUUCGGUGUGCGGCGAUCGGCGGCGCCCGCUGGCGUCGGGGGUUUCCGAGCGGGCGCAGGAGGUCGGCAGCGAGUAGGUCGGUCACCCACUCGACCCGUCUUGAAACACGGACCAAGGAGUUUAACACGGGCGCGAGUCGUCGGGUCUUGCACAGGCCCGGAGGCGCAAUGAAAGUGAAGGUCGGCUUCUCGCCGACCGCGUUGGGAUCCGGGGGACCGUUCCCUCGGCGCACCAACGUCUCGUCCGGACCGCCUCGUCGGUCGGGCGAAGAAGGAGCGCCCGCGUUGAGACCCGAAAGAUGGUGAACUAUGGCUGGGCAGGACGAAGCCAGAGGAAACUCUGGUGGAGGUCCGCAGCGGUUCUGACGUGCAAAUCGAUCGUCAGACCUGGCUAUAGGGGCGAAAGACUAAUCGAACCAUCUAGUAG